GCUGGAGUAGCUCAGAUGGCUAGAGCGCCUGACUGUGGAUCAGGAGGUCGGCAGUUCGAUCCUGCCCUCCAGUACCA
rnacentral:tRNA from 1 species